rnacentral:rRNA from 1 species
CGAUAAAUCAUUCAAGUUUCUGCCCUAUCAGCUUUGGAUGGUAGUGUAUUGGACUACCAUGGCAGUCACGGGUAACGGAGAAUUAGGGUUCGAUUCCGGAGAGGGAGCCUGAGAAACGGCUACCACAUCUACGGAAGGCAGCAGGAGCGAAAAUUGCCCAAUCCCGACACGGGGAGGCAGUGACGAGAAAUAACAACUCUUGGUUAUUCUAAGAAGUGUAAUGAGGACAAUUUAAAACCCUUACCGAAAGCAAUUGGAGGGCAAGUCUGGUGCCAGCAGCCGCGGUAAUUCCAGCUCCAAUAGCGUAUAUUAAAGUUGUUGCAGUUAAAAAGCUCGUAGUUGAAGUUCUGGCUGCUUGACCCUCGAGCUCUGUAGCCGAGGGCUCAGCAGUCAUCCGCUUGCAAAUAUAUGUUCGCCUUUAACCGGGCGGCUAUAUGAGUAAGCAUUUUACCUUGAGAAAAACAGAGUGUUCCAGGCAGGUUUGUCCGGAAUGCAUUAGCAUGGAAUAAUAGAAUAUGACUGAAGUCGAUUUAUUGGUUUGAGGCUUUAGUAAUGAUUAAUAGGAACAGGGGGCAUUGGUACUUGUCAGUCAGAGGUGAAAUUCUAGGAUUUGACAAAGACUAACAAAUGCGAAAGCAUUUGCCAAGGAUGUUUUCAUUAAUCAAGAACGAAAGUUAGGGGAUCAAAGACGAUCAGAUACCGUCCUAGUCUUAACUAUAAACUAUACCGACUCGGAUUCAGAUGAAUCAUAAAGUUCAUUUGGGACCGUAGGAGAAAUCAAAGUUUUUGGGUUCUGGGGGAAGUAUGGUCGCAAGGCUGAAACUUAAAGGAAUUGACGGUUUUGCACCACCAUGGAGUGGAGUCUGCGGCUUAAUUUGACCCAACACUGGGAAACUCAUCAGGGCAAGAAGAUUGUAGGAUUGACAGAUUGAGAGUUCUUUCUUGAUUGGUCUAGUGGUGGUGCAUGGCCGUUCUUAGUUGGUGGAGUGAUUUGUCUGGUUAAUUCCGUUAACGAACGAGACCUUAACCUGCUAACUAGUACACCGAUGACAAAUCGGUGAUACUUCUUAGAGGGACUAUGUGAUGUAAUCACAUGGAAGUUUGAGGCAAUAACAGGUCUGUGAUGCCCUUAGAUGUCCUGAGCUGCACGCGUACUACAAUGGUGCUUUCAUCGAGCUUUUCCUGAUCCGAAAGGAUUUGGGUAAUCUUUUUAGUGAGCACCGUGCUUGGGAUAGAUCUUUGUAAUUAUGGAUCUUGAACUAGGAAUUCCUAGUAAGCACGUGUCAUCAGCACGU